rnacentral:tRNA from 1 species
UGGCUCAGCGGUUAAGAGCACUGGCUGCUCUUCCAGAGGACCUGAGUUCAAUUCUCAG